rnacentral:lncRNA from 1 species
UUCUUGUACAGGUUUGUAUAUUAAUAUAUGUUUUGAGUUGUGUUUUUCCCCUUUUUUAUAUUAUUAUGUUACAUUAUAUUGAUCAAUUUUGUGUAGACUAAGACAAAAAAAAAGGAGUAAGUACUUAGAACUUCAGUUUCUGAGAGCUUCAUAGGAAAGAGUUUGAUUUUCAGAUCAGUCAAUACUUAAAUAUUAUUCAAUUGCAUCUUUUCCUGUUGACAAAAAUAAUUGAUGGAAAAUAUGCUUGUUCUAUUUUCUUACCAAAAUAUGUAAAUUAUUAGUGGAAUUCUAUGGUUUGGAACAAGCACAGACUUGAAUAAGGAAAUUUAAUUAAAUGUGAGGCUGUGGGGAAAUUGUGUGUGGGACAACCAAAAAUCUAAACUCUUUCAGCGUAUGCAGUAUUUACUAAAACCUGCCAAAUUUUGAAUCCCUGUAUAACCUGUGAUGAAGCACAAUAGAAAAAUUCAGCUUCUGUCUUAGUCUUCUAUUCAUACAC